GCGGCCCCCGCCCUCCCGCUGGAGAACAGUCCUGCUGCUCUUGAACCUGGGAGGAAAUUGGCUGAUGUUCUUGUAGCCGUCUUGACACCAUGGGAAUGGAGCCAUACCAGAGGAAGGAGAUAAGAGAAGGAGAGAAAGACCAGGGCCUGACAGUUCCAUUGGAGUCCCUGGAUAAAGCUUUACCUGAGGUUCAUGUUCCCCAGAAUUUGCAGUUAUGUGAGCCAAGUUUAAGCUGGACUUUCUAUCUCUGGGCACAGAUUUGGAGUGUGUGUGCAGAGACCUGCGAAGCCCUCUGGCUUGACACCCAGAAAUGGAGGCUGUGGUCCCCAGACCUUUCCCAAAGAACCGAAGAGCACUGUGUUCUGAAAGGCCACAGUCUCCUUACACCACCUGUGUUGCCGGUAACACCGAGGUGCAAAAUUGGCCACCCCAGAGAGGUAAUUUUAUGGGGUGGAACAGAACAAUUGCUUCUGCUGGAUUUCCGAUGCUUUCCAAAGGCUGAGCUGAUGCCUGCACCAUGAAGCCUAAAUGUCUCAUGUCCUUGAGCUGAACCUCUUGGUAGAGGAAUGAGUGUUUCUGCUUCUCCUGCCACUCCUUAUGGAUUGUCUAUCCAGGAAACACCUCUGAGGACAUUGGGCCUUUCUGAAGACUUUAAGGUGCCAAAUCCCAGGUGAGAAGGAUGUUUGAGCACAGCCCAAAGAAAAUUACAUGGUUUGAACUUUAAUCAAGACCCCCAGUCAAAGGCAGCAUGUGACAGACCUUCCACACUUGCCAGAAUGUUAAAAUGGGCCUCUCUCACAGAGACUGGCCAGAGAUAACACCGAGCAGCAGCCAGAAGCCUCUCAUUGUGUGAAGCCUGUGAUCCAGCCUGGGCCGAGUCCACAGCAUUGCAUGCCUGUGCCACCAGGCUACUCUAGCCUCCUGUUUCCUAGCUCUUCAUGAAUCCCAAGAAAGAGAAGACACCACUAGCAACCUGAUUGCCAAGGACCUUCCACUCGAUGCCCCCCUCCCACCCCAGUCAGGUGUCAUCUUUAUAGGUAACAUGGGAAAUGAUGUGAAGGAAAGCAGAGCAGGCCUGUGAGGCACGAGAUCCCAGGUCCCCAGUGUACAACCCUGCUUAGUAAAUAGGUGGGGCCCUAUCCAUGUGAGGUACAGGGUGGGUGUGGGUGUUCCUUAU